UCGCCGCCGUCGCCUAGCGAAUAGGGUUGGGGCUCGCACGGUCCCCGCGGCACCCCGAGACUAGCCAUCCCGUCUCGUCCCCGCAUCUCGGAGCGCCACGGCGGGCUCCUGCCGCCCCGCCCCACCCCACCCCCCGGCGCGCGUCCCGAGCCCCGCCCGCGCGCCCGGCAGGAAAGGGCGGUCCUGCGCUGUCGCCCACGCUCGCUCCCGCUGUCGGACUCUGGGCCUGGACCGCGCGUGACCGGCGCCAAGAGCGAGAGGCAUGGGCGCGCGCCCGGGCCAGUGAACGGCUCCGGGAUGGACUGCGGCUCAGUCGGCGGCCAGAGGACCCAGCGCCUGCCCGGCCGCCGGCGGCUUCUCUUCUUGCCCGCGGGCCUCAGCGGAAGACCCGGCGGCAGCGAAACCUCAGCACGCCGCUGCCUCUCUGCGCUCUCCGACGGUCUGGGGGCGCUGCGCCCUCGCGCCCCGGCGGCCCGCGGCGGCGUGUCACGUGCCUCACCGCUGCUCCUCCUCCUGCUAGUGCCCUCCCCGCGCUUGGCCGCCGCAGCCCCGCGCCGGCAGCUCGGGGACUGGGAGCGCUCGCGCCUCGGGUAUGCCGCACCCCCGGCCGGGCGCAGCGGCGCGUGGAGGUGCUCACCGGGCCUCGGCCCGGGCGUUGCCGCUGCCGCCGGCGCCCUUCCCCAGUACCACGGCCCGGCGCCUGCACUCGUUUCCUGCAGGAGAGAGCUAAGCUUGUCUGCUGGAUCCCUGCAGCUGGAGCGCAAAAGGAGAGAUUUCACCUCUUCUGGGAGCAGGAAGCUCUACUUCGACACUCAUGCCUUAGUGUGCUUACUGGAAGACAAUGGGUUUGCUACUCAACAAGCAGAAAUCAUUGUGUCUGCGUUGGUCAAGAUCCUGGAGGCCAACAUGGACAUCGUCUACAAAGAUAUGGUCACCAAGAUGCAGCAGGAAAUCACUUUUCAGCAAGUAAUGUCUCAGAUUGCGAAUGUGAAAAAGGAUAUGAUUAUUUUGGAGAAGAGUGAAUUUUCAGCCCUCAGAGCAGAAAAUGAGAAAAUAAAACUCGAACUACAUCAGUUAAAACAACAAGUAAUGGAUGAAGUGAUCAAAGUCCGAACAGAUACCAAAUUAGACUUCAACCUAGAAAAGAGCAGAGUAAAAGAAUUGGAGGUACUGAGACCAGAAUAUUUAAGGCACCAGAGAAGGAGAAGAGAGAGGAGUAGAUCAGAAUCUGACCCAUGUUACGUGUUUAUUUCAGUAUUCAUUGAACGAAAAGAAGCUGCUGGAAUUGAGAACAGAAAUUGUGGCAUUGCAUGCCCAGCAAGAUCGGGCCCUUACCCAGACAGACAGGAAGAUCGAAACUGAGGUUGCUGGCCUCAAAACCAUGCUUGAGUCACACAAGCUUGAUAAUAUUAAAUAUUUAGCAGGGUCUAUAUUUACGUGCCUAACAGUAGCUCUGGGAUUUUAUCGCCUGUGGAUCUAAUAAAGUGUCUAUUUAAAGAGA